rnacentral:tRNA from 1 species
GCGGGAGUAGUCAAGUCUGGUCAAAGGCGCCAGAUUCAGGGUCUGGUCCCAUAGGGGUUCCCAGGUUCAAAUCCUGGCUCCCGCA